rnacentral:rRNA from 1 species
CAGCCGCCACGGUAACACGGAGGGUGCAAGCGUUAAUCGGAAUUACUGGGCGUAAAGCGCACGCAGGCGGUCUGACAAGUCAGAUGUGAAAUCCCCGGGCUUAACCUGGGAACUGCAUUUGAAACUGUCAGGCUGGAGUCUUGUAGAGGGGGGUAGAAUUCCAGGUGUAGCGGUGAAAUGCGUAGAGAUCUGGAGGAAUACCGGUGGCGAAGGCGGCCCCCUGGACAAAGACUGACGCUCAGGUGCGAAAGCGUGGGGAGCAAACAGGAUUAGAGACCCCGGUAGUCCCUGUCUCUUAUAA